UACGUAGGGUGCGAGCGUUAAUCGGAUUUACUGGGCGUAAAGCGUGCGCAGGCGGCCCGUUAAGACAGGUGUGAAAUCCCUGGGCUCAACCUAGGAAUUGCGCUUGUGACUGGCGGGCUCGAGUACGGUAGAGGGGGGUGGAAUUCCUGGUGUAGCGGUGAAAUGCGCAGAUAUCAGGAGGAACACCGAUGGCGAAGGCAGCCCCCUGGGCCUGUACUGACGCUCAUGCACGAAAGCGUGGGGAGCAAACAGG
rnacentral:rRNA from 1 species